UACGUAGGGUGCAAGCGUUAAUCGGAAUUACUGGGCGUAAAGCGUGCGCAGGCGGUUAUAUAAGACAGAUGUGAAAUCCCCGGGCUCAACCUGGGAACUGCAUUUGUGACUGUAUAGCUAGAGUACGGCAGAGGGGGAUGGAAUUCCGCGUGUAGCAGUGAAAUGCGUAGAUAUGCGGAGGAACACCGAUGGCGAAGGCAAUCCCCUGGGCCUGUACUGACGCUCAUGCACGAAAGCGUGGGGAGCAAACAGGAUUAGAUACCCUGGUAGUCCACGCCCUAAACGAUGUCAACUGGUUGUUGGGUCUUCACUGACUCAGUAACGAAGCUAACGCGUGAAGUUGACCGCCUGGGGAGUACGGCCGCAAGGUUGAA
rnacentral:rRNA from 1 species